UUCAUGUCCAUGUCCUCGAUGCCCUUGGAGUGACCAGCUAGGGGACCAAAUAAAUGGAACGCCAUUACACGCCAUUAUACACGCACAAAUAGCGAGACAUCAAGUUCUUUCCUCCUCACACACUGGAUUCCCAAGUUGGCAAAGCUGUCCAGAUUACAGCAAACGAACAAAAACAAACGUUGAAGGACGCAUGUUCAAAGAGGGAAAUGGGGGGG